UCGGGAAUUUUGGGCAAUGGGCGAAAGCCUGACCCAGCAACGCCGCGUGAAGGAUGAAGUAUUUCGGUAUGUAAACUUCGAAAGAAUAGGAAGAAUAAAUGACGGUACUAUUUAUAAGGUCCGGCUAACUACGUGCCAGCAGCCGCGGUAAUACGUAGGGACCAAGCGUUGUUCGGAUUUACUGGUCGUAAAGGGCGCGUAGGCGGCAAUUCAAGUCAUCUGUGAAAUCUCCGGGGCUUAACUCGGAACGGUCAGAUGAUACUGCUUUGCUAGAGUACAGAAAGGGCAAUCGGAAUUCUUGGUGUAGCGGUGAAAUGGCGUAGAUAUCAAGAGGAACACCUGAGGCGAAGGCGGGUUGCUAGGCUGAUACUGACGCUGAGGCGCGAAAGCUAGGGUAGCAAA
rnacentral:rRNA from 1 species